rnacentral:rRNA from 1 species
CCUACGGGUGGCAGCAGUAGGGAAUAUUGCUCAAUGGGGGAAACCCUGAAGCAGCAACGCCGCGUGGAGGAUGAAGGUUCUCGGAUUGUAAACUCCUUUUGUUAGAGAAGAGAAGGACGGUAUGUAACGAAUAAGGACCGGCUAACACCGGGCCAGCAGCCGCGGUAAUACGGAGGGUGCAAGCGUUAAUCGGAAUGACUGGGCGUAAAGAGAGCGUAGGGGGGUUUGAAAGUCAGAUGUGAAAUCCUCUGGCUUAACCAUAGAACUGCAUUUGAAACUGUUAAUCUAGAGUAUGGGAGAGGUAGGUGGAAUUCUUGGUGUAGCGGUCACAUCCGUAGCGAUCACGCGG